UAUAUAUGAUCGAUAGACGACCGAUCACACGUACUCUCAUCAGAAAAUUAAAAGGUUUAAAAAGAAAAGGACAUGCAUAUACUACACAUGCAUGCACAAGCAGAUUAUGUGUAAUAACCUAACCCAUGCAUGCAUGCAGAUUAUGCAGAGCAACAACGAACGACGACAUACACACAUAUAUAGUAUGAGCGAUCAAAUUAGAGCAAAUCAUAAUGCUCAUGCAUUUUAAUAAAAUUAAGCGGGGCAGGUGAAGUCCGCGGGGCAGAUCUUGCCGCAGUGGUUGAGGAG
rnacentral:lncRNA from 1 species